UCCCCCCCCUCCGAUAGGAUGGUGCAUUGGUAUCUUCCCAAGUCAGAGCGGUCUGGCAGGAGAAGCGGCCGUUGGGGUGGAUUCAGUCCGGCGGCUGAGCGAGGCGGCUCUCCUGUUUCCUUUCCCGCCGGGAUGCAGAGCUCGGAUCUGGGCAACAGAGAACAGGGCAAAAUCUGGCACCGCAGACCCUCCCCGGCAACACAGCAGGGAAUCAUAGUAAAUAUUAUUCAUACCACCACAGGAUAUCAUUCCAAGACAAUACGGUUUUUGAAUGUGGCUUUUGACUGUUCAGGAGAGUAUUUACUUGCUGGAGAUCAUCAGGGGAAUAUUUAUGUUUUUGAUUUGGUGGGCAACAGGUUCAACCUGGUUCAACGAACGGGACAAGCUUGCACUGCUUUGGCAUUUACUCUUCGCAGGAAAACAGAAUUCCUUGUGGCUUUGGCUGAUUAUUCCAUCAAAUGCUUUGACACAGCAACCAAAGAACUUGUUAGCUGGAUGAGAGGACACGACUCUUCCGUUUCUUCCAUCUCUGUUCACGGCUCUGGCAGAUACGCCAUCACGUGCUCUACAGAUACUGCCCAGCUUUGGGAUCUGGACACGUUCCAGCGCAAAAGGAAGUUGAACGUCCGCCAUUCUGUGGGGAUCCAAAAGGUAUUCUUUCUUCCUCUAAGUAACACCAUUCUCAGCUGCUUCAAAGAUAACUCGGUCUUUGCGUGGGACUUUGAUACCCUUCAUUGCAAGUACCAGCUACCAUCGCCCAUCGAAGGGUCUUCGUUGCACUACAAGGUCUUCGCCAUUACCCGUGAUGGCCGCAUCCUGGCAGCAGGAGGCAAAUCAAAUCACCUUCACCUAUGGUGCUUGGAGUCUAAGCAGCUGCUACGAAUUAUCCAGAUGCCAACCAAAGUGCGAGCCAUUCGGCACCUGGAAUUCCUUUCUGAUAGUUUUGAUGGAGGCUCUAAUCAGGUCCUUGCAGUGCUGAGCCAAGAUAAUCUCAUGCGAUUUAUCAACAUCAAUACAUGCAAGCUACUGUUUGACCUUGGCAGUCACGAAGAGGGCAUCAGCAUGGCUGCCGUGAGCCCUUCCGGAAGGUACAUUGCAGCUGUGAUGGAGAACGGCAGCCUUAGCAUUUACAGCGUCCAGGCUCUGACCCAAGAGGUCAACAAGCCUCCCCCACCGCUGUUUAAAGUGAUCGAAGACUCUAAGAGAAAGUUGGAGGCCAACAAACUUACCAUGAGAGUCACUUCCAGAACCUCAGAGAGGCCGUGGAAAGCCAAAAAAGGCAAAAUCCAAUCCAAGGCGUUGAAGCCUCCACUCGACGUGUCGUAUGAGGACAAGGAGAAUGAGUUGCCGGAGGGGCUGAACAAGAAGCGUCUCCAAGCUUUGCUGAAAGGGUUUGGAGAGUAUCCAGCAAAAUACAGGAUGUUUAUUUGGCGCUCCUUGCUUCGCCUUCCCGAAAAUCACCUGGCCUUUAACAGCCUGUUGGAUAAAGGGACCCAUUCGGCCUUCGCACACCUUCAGAAUGAAUACCCAAUUAAAAGCAGGAAGCUCCUGAGAGUUUUACAAAGGACUCUUUCUGGCCUGGCUCACUGGUCCAUCAUCUUUGGCGAGAUGCCUUACAUCCCUCUGCUGGUUUUCCCCUUCGUCAAACUCUUCCAGAACAAUCCGCUCAUCUGCUUCGAGGUGGUGGCUACCGUAAUAAUCAAUUGGUGUCAGCAUUGGUUUGAAUUUUUCCCAAACCCUCCUAUCAAUGUCCUCAGUAUGGUGGAAAACAUCCUGGCACAUCAUGACAAAGAGCUUCUUCACCAUUUGAUGAAGUACAAUAUAACCUCCCAGAGCUAUGCCUGGCCCCUUCUGGAAACCAUGUUCUCUGAAGUCCUGACAAGGGAAGAAUGGCUGAAAAUGUUUGAUAAUAUCUUCUCCAACCACCCCUCCUACUUGCUGAUGGUGGUGGUUGCCUACCUUACCUGCUCCAGGGCUCCAUUGCUUCACUGCAAUCAGAAGGAGGACUUUGAGUAUUUCUUCCAUCAUCGGAACCACCUGGACGUCAGCGUGGUGAUCCGAGAGGCCUACCAUCUCAUGGAGUGCACCCCUGACGACAUCCACCCUGUUCGUAUGCUGGAGGACUUUGCACCACUGACCAAAGGGCAGUACCCCAUCUUUAAUAAGUACCCCAAGUUCAUUGUGGAUUACCAGUCCCAGGAGCGAGAGCGGAUCAGGCAGGAGGAAAUUGAAUACCUAAGAGAGAGGCAGAUGCUGCAUGAAAUGGAAGCCAAAGCAAUCGAGCACCGAGUAGAAGAUGAAACAUGGUAUCGGAAGCAGGAGCUGCUUCAAGAAGCUGAGGAGCAAAGGAGGAAGAUUCUCCUCACCGAAGAAGAAAAACUAGCGGAACAGAGGCGGCGGUUAGCUGCCGUCAAGAGAGAACUGAAAGUGAAGGAGCUGCAGUUGGUGGAAACCGCACGGAGACGCUUCCUAAAAUACCAACAAAAUCAGCGGGAAAUGGAGGUUAAAAGACUCGACGAUGAAAUUGCAAGAAAGGCGUCCAUGCGAGAAGAAGAAACAGCAGCUACCAUUCGAGACGUCGAGGUGCGGCAGAUGGAGCUCGAAACUCAACGGCGACUUUUUGAACAGAAACUUGUCAAAGAGCAGGAAGCCAUGACACAAGAAGUCAAAGGGGAGAUGGACACCAGCCGGAGGAAAGCAGAUCUUGAAGAACGUUUAUUUCAGAGGUUGAUUGAAGCAGAACAAGGAGGAAACCAGAAAGCUCAUGAAGUGCUUGAAGAAUCUUUGGCUAGAGCCCAUCAAGAAAACAUUGACGUGAAUUGGCAAGCGGAGCUCCUCCACAAGCGAAUCUGUGACGACAUGGACCGGGACCAGCGAUACCAAGAGGUGGCCGAACUCCUUCACAAGACCAGAAUGGCGGAGGUUAAGCUGCUUGAGGCAAUGAAGGAAGAGUUGACCGAAAAGCUGGAUGAAACCAUGGGGAAAAAAGAGCAGCUGACAGCACAGCAGGAUAUCGCUGCUGCUUUGGAUGCCAACAGGAAGCAGUUUCUGAACCAAGAAAUGAAUGAUGCCAUAGAACUGGCAGUAAAGCUUCAGGACGGAGAUGGCUAUUUUGAGCGACUGCGGGAUCUGAGAACCUCCAAGACUCCCGAAGGUUCAGAAUGGCAUCGGGAACCUCGGAAGACGCAACAUGGCAACGCCUGUUUAAACGAAUCCUCUGGGGCAGAUUCCUCCAUCCACUGGAUUGCCUAUAGCCGUGAUGGCGAACCUAUGGCACAUGUGCCGGAAGUAGCACACAGAGCCAUUUCUCCGGGCACGUGAGCCAUCGCCCGUUGCUCUUCCGGGUUUUGGUGCACCGGCCAGCUGAUCUUCACACAUGCAGGAGCGCUGGAAACCGGAAGAACAGCCGCAUGCACCCGCCAGGAAGAUGAUCUUCCCGUUUCCAGUGUGCACAUGUAUUCUCCCGUUUCGGCACACAGUGCCAAAAAGGCUCGCCAACACUGGCCUAUAGAAUCCCUAGGGACAUUUGUCCUCUCAGAAUAAAACCGCUGGCUGCUUCUUGGAUCUUCAAAGUCUCUUUAGACCGAGGACGGCAGGAGCUGGAAUCGAAAGAACGGGAAAUAAUGGCUGAAGUUAGACAACUCAGAAAGAAGCUCAUGUCCCACGCUCGGGGGGAAGGAAAGUUUACCAGCAGAAGCCCAGUGAAAGAG